rnacentral:sRNA from 1 species
CAUCAUUGUACUCGACCAACAGGAGCUACAGAGACUUGCAAGGAUUUCUUGCAGUUUACAGUAGAUCUUCUGCAUAUUUUUUCAGUCAACAGAGUGUGGACCACGCGCUGAGGAUAAGCUGGAGAGAGAAUCUAAAACUCAACCUAGACCACUCAUUUAAAAACAUCACUCGACUUCACAAAAUCCACUCGACCUACCUCUUUUCAUUUCACCACCGACACUCUAAUCUCUCUACACCACGAAUCGCCGUCCAAAGAGAUACUCGAUCCUGACAAUAUCACUCGGCCUCCGAGAGUUACUCGACAUCCGCGCCGCCGUCACCAGAUCAUAUCUUCCGUCACUCGACCUCCGGGAACCACUCGACCUCUGCGCUUCCGUAAUCGAGUACUCCUCCUCGUUCACCGUCGAAGUCUCCGUGACCACUUGAUUACGACCAAGCUACUAGACCACAAACUAUCACUCGACCUCGAGUAUUCACUCGACCUCUGCAGCAGCAACUCGACCUCUUGUUCUUGAAAGCAACAGAGCCCUGAAGAACUGUCAGAGUGUUUACUCGACCUCUAGGCUUCACCGGCUGAACUCAACCUCCACAACUUACUCGAUCUCCUGAAGCAUACCCACUCGAAUCCGGAGACGAUACUCGAUCCAAAUCGUCUAAAGGGAACUCAAGAACAGCUCAGUCUACUCGAGUACAGAAUUGUACUCGACCAAUAGGGUUUAUUUCAUUGCCUAUUGAUAACAAUUUUGGUUUCAUUGCUAUCUUUGAGACUAACCUAUUGACUUUGAGCUUUGAGUUCUAAAUUUUUACAGGAGAAUCAUGAGCAAUUACAGUGGCAGUUCUUCUGUUGAUCCUGACUACAACAUGGAUGAGACAGAGUCAACAUCUUCAAGGCCAGAGAGAGAACAAAGAGAAUAUGAAAGCUUCAGAAGGAAAGCUGAGAUAGCCCGAGGGAAGAGAGCGAUCACUGAGAGGUAUGAGCUUAUAGACGAAGAUCAGGAAGACGAGUACAUGCCUGAACAGACUCGUAGAGCUACCAAACUUCUGCACAAGCCCGACGUAUUGCCUGCUGAGGAAUAUGUUAGGCUUUUCAAGCUGAACGAGUUCUGUAGCACGAGGUAUCCUUACUCGACCUCACUUGCACAACUCGGAUUGUUGGAAGAUGUUCAACACCUGUACCAGAGUUGUCAUCUGGACACUCUGAUGGCUUAUCCGUAUGUAGCGUAUGAAGAUGAGACAAUACAAUUUCUUUCCACGCUGCAAGUAGAGCUCUACCAAGGUAUGACCUCUGAUGAGUUGGAUUGUGAAGGAUUGGGAUUCUUGCAAUUUUCUGUGUAUGGCCAUGAGUAUAGGUUAUCAAUCAAGCGCUUGGAAGGAUUGUUUGGCUUCCCCAGUGGAACGGGAUCUAAGCCCAAGUAUGACAGAGAAGAGUUGAAAGACUUGUGGAUCACCAUUUGCAGCUCUGUACCGCUGAAUGCUUCUAGGUCAAAGAGCAAUCAGAUACGCAGCCCUGUCAUCAGGUACUUCCAGCGUUCUAUAGCCAAUGUACUCUACUCCCGAGAGAUCACAGGGACUGUUACUAACUCUGAUAUGGAGAUGAUCGCAAUGGCCCUCAAGGGAACUCUUCGCCAAACGAAGAAUGGUAUGUCUCUCCAAGGUGAAAUCAAUGACACACCUCUCUCUGUACUUCUUCUGAUCCAUCUGUGUGGAUACAAGAGUUGGGCUGUCAGCAAUAACCGCAAGAGAGCACGAGGCGCUCUGUGCAUAGGUGGUGUUGUGACACCGAUUCUGAUAGCUUGUGGAGUCCCAAUCAUAUCUGCCGGACUCGAGCCGCGAGCAAUGGAUAUCGAGCACCUACGUCACUGCGAAUUCCUAGAGUUUGCAAUGGUUGACGACUUCCACAGGUUCAGGUUUGAGCACUCUACAGACAGGAGAGCUAACAUCCUUCUCCCUAGCCCUGAGGUUACACGGAUAAUAGAGGGAGAUAAUAUUGAUUUUUGGCCUGAGGUUGGACGCCUCUACUAUGAGAACGCUCCGCCAUUCAAUGAGGAGGAUCUUCUAGAAGAAGCUGUUUCGGAUGGGAUGGAUGACGAUUGCGCAGUGGAGUUCGACACUAGCAUGUAUCACUUUGGUGAAGAUGUACCUCCAGCGAGGCAGAGCAAGAGCUUGACCGAAGCUCAUAAGAACAAAAGUAAAUUGCAGAAGUGGUGCAAGAAGCAGGACAAGUUGCUCGCCAAGUGUUUCAAGGCUAUCAAGCUUCUGACAGAUAAGCUGAGUUGUUCCUCCUCCACCACAGCUAUUCCACAGGUAUUGCCUCCUCUGGAGAUGCCAUCGAGGAGAUUUGAUAAGCCUGCGCACAAGCCUGAGCUUAGCGAGCAGAGAGUCUCUCAUGCCCCGGUUAGGCAUUUGUCAUUCGAGUCCCGGGAGCACAAGAGAAGAAGGAAGGCUACACUCACUUGAUCUAGGAGCAGAUCACACCUCAUUCACUCGAGGAGAUCACUUGACCGCGGUGCCGGCCGUAGCAGAAGGAGAGAGGUCGAGUAUCCUCAGAGCGGUGCUGGCCGCCACAGAGCUAAUGAGGUCGAGUACCCACCUGCUGGAGCUGAUACAGAACAAGGUGGUUCGUCUAUGGCCUGGGAGCAAUCACAGGCAGCCAUUGACGAGCAACUACGUUCAUUCUUCGAUUGAGGUACGCGCCUCACUUCACCAUUGUAUUAUAUCAUCUGUUGUGAUUUGUUUCUUCAUUUCGUUUCUGUGAUUGGAUUUGUCCUGAGUACUCUCUUCCAAGUUUAUUCGCAUAGUGGACUGUGUGAUUUAAGUUUGGGGGAGGGCUCAGGAAGUGUGUGUUAUAUUUUUGAGUCUGCAUUCAUCUAAGGGAUAGAAAAACCAAAAAAAAUUGAAAAAUUUUA